rnacentral:rRNA from 1 species
AUUGAACGCUGGCGGCAGGCCUAACACAUGCAAGUCGAGCGGAUGAAGGGAGCUUGCUCCUGGAUUCAGCGGCGGACGGGUGAGUAAUGCCUAGGAAUCUGCCUGGUAGUGGGGGAUAACGUCCGGAAACGGGCGCUAAUACCGCAUACGUCCUGAGGGAGAAAGUGGGGGAUCUUCGGACCUCACGCUAUCAGAUGAGCCUAGGUCGGAUUAGCUAGUUGGUGGGGUAAAGGCCUACCAAGGCGACGAUCCGUAACUGGUCUGAGAGGAUGAUCAGUCACACUGGAACUGAGACACGGUCCAGACUCCUACGGGAGGCAGCAGUGGGGAAUAUUGGACAAUGGGCGAAAGCCUGAUCCAGCCAUGCCGCGUGUGUGAAGAAGGUUUUCGGAUUGUAAAGCACUUUAAGUUGGGAGGAAGGGCAGUAAGUUAAUACCUUGCUGUUCUGACGUUACCAACAGAAUAAGCACCGGCUAACUUCGUG